AGCAGUCGCCACGGUAAUACGAAGGGGGCUAGCGUUGCUCGGAAUUACUGGGCGUAAAGGGAGCGUAGGCGGACAUUUAAGUCAGGGGUGAAAUCCCAGAGCUCAACUCUGGAACUGCCUUUGAUACUGGGUGUCUUGAGUGUGAUAGAGGUAUGUGGAACUCCGAGUGUAGAGGUGAAAUUCGUAGAUAUUCGGAAGAACACCAGUGGCGAAGGCGACAUACUGGAUCAUUACUGACGCUGAGGCUCGAAAGCGUGGGGAGCAAACAGGAUUAGAGACCCGAGUAGUCCCUGUCUCUUAUAC
rnacentral:rRNA from 1 species